AGGACAUCUCUACACUCUGAGCCAACCCAGGAGGAGCCUGGGGUAAUACCCGCCCCGCAGGAAUGAGGGUGCUGCUCCCCUUUAAUACAGUAAAUCAGUAGGGCCACAAGAACCUGGGGCGUGUGGAAGUGGGGAACGAAUGGUGCUACCACAAAAUGCUCCCCCUGAUCCCACCGCCAUGGAAGCUACACCAAGCAUGAAUUAUGUCACAAGGCUCCAUGCAUCUGUAGGAAGCCAGGGGCAGGAUGCUGGAGGACAGAUUAUACUGAAAUGGCAAACUCAUGUCUGAAGAGUUCAUCUGUUCCUCCUGGCAGUUUCUCCUCUGACAUCACCAGCAAAGGUCAAGACUUGGAAUGGAGAAUGAGCUGCAAGGACAAAUGAACACUUCUGAAACUAAAGGUGUUGCUGGUAACUCAAGAACAAACAAUGCAGUCUAGUGGUAGGACUACAAGUCUGGGAGCCAGGAACUUGUGAAAACUAAAUGCAGUUCCACAACUGGUUCCUUGAGUGGCCUUGGGCAAUUUAACCUCUCUGCAAGGCCUAGUUAAUAACUCUAUAGGGCACUUUGAAGUUAAUUGUCAGUUGUGAUUAUUAAAAAGAGCUAAGGUAAAGUUCAGGUUUCUUCUGUCUUCACUGGACAGUCUUAGGCUGGAAGGAAGGUAGAAUUACACACCCAAAAUCCUUUCCAUAGAACAGUAGUGGCCAAACCUUUCCUGUUGGGUUUACCCUUUACCAGUAAUGGAAUUUGCCUAGGCCCCCCUCAUUACUG